rnacentral:rRNA from 1 species
CAGUAGCCACGGGAAUACGUAGGGUGCAAGCGUUAAUCGGAAUUACUGGGCGUAAAGCGUGCGCAGGCGGUUAUAUAAGACAGAUGUGAAAUCCCCGGGCUCAACCUGGGAACUGCAUUUGUGACUGUAUAGCUAGAGUACGGCAGAGGGGGAUGGAAUUCCGCGUGUAGCAGUGAAAUGCGUAGAUAUGCGGAGGAACACCGAUAGCGAAGGCAAUCCCCUGGGCCUGUACUGACGCUCAUGCACGAAAGCGUGGGGAGCAAACAGGAUUAGAUACCCCCGUAGUCCCUGUCUUUUAUAU